rnacentral:ncRNA from 2 species
UACACUCGCACGCACUCUGGUGCUCGCGUGCGCGUACGUUUCGCACGCAGUUAAACGGGAAUCAGGGAGCCAUCCCGCCACGGGCACGGCCAACCUGAACUGCACCCGCAACGGUACAACGAGCGCAUCGUCCGCAAAGUCGAUGCAAGCCGCUUCAUCGCAUGCGCCGCAUGCAUGGCCACUGUGCGACGCGCGCCUGAAUGGCGCGCCGCGCGGGAAGGCGAAGCGGCGUGACUCGUCAGUCCGGAUACCGGCCAGAUACGCGGGACGCGC